GUCGGCUACGAGGACGAACGCUGGCGGCGUGCUUAACACAUGCAAGUGGAGCGACGAACCGGGGCUUGCCCGGGGCAGAGCCGCGAACGGGUGAGUAACACGUGGGUAACCUGCCUCAAUGAUUGGGACAACCCGGGGAAACUCGGGCUAAUACCAAAUGUGUUCACUCCUUUUAAGGGGAGUGAGGAAAGGAAGCUUCGGCCUCCGCAUUGAGAUGGGCCCGCGGCCCAUUAGCUUGUUGGUGAGGUAACGGCUCACCAAGGCUUCGAUGGGUAGCUGGUCUGAGAGGACGAUCAGCCGCACUGGGACUGAGACACGGCCCAGACUCCUACGGGAGGCAGCAGGUGGGGAAUCUUGCACAAUGCGCGAAAGCGUGAUGCAGCAACGCCGCGUGGGGAAGACGGCCUUCGGGUUGUAAACCCCUUUCAGUUGGGACGAAGCUUCGCCGGUGAAUAGCCGGUUGGAGUGACGGUACCUUCAGAAGAAGCCCCGGCUAACUACGUG
rnacentral:rRNA from 1 species